rnacentral:rRNA from 1 species
UACGGGGGGGGCAAGCGUUGUUCGGAAUUACUGGGCGUAAAGGGCUCGUAGGCGGCCAACUAAGUCCGACGUGAAAUCCCAAGGCUUAACCUUGGAACUGCGUCGGAUACUGGAUGGCUUGAAUUCGGGAGAGGGAUGCGGAAUUCCAGGUGUAGCGGUGAAAUGCGUAGAUAUCUGGAGGAACACCGGUGGCGAAGGCGGCAUCCUGGACCGAGAUUGACGCUGAUGCGCGAAAGCCAGGGGAGCAAACGGG